rnacentral:lncRNA from 1 species
GUCCCAAGUUACCCCAAGGACGCCGGUGGGCAUUCGCUCCCUCCUCACCCAGCUGUCAGGGCGCCGCGAAGCCGGUGCGAAGCUGCGGAGGACGUUUUCAACGUGCCAGAGGGAGCGCAAACUCCAUGGAGAUUCCUAGCGCAGAAGGAAUUCCUGCGGUCGGGAAUUUCUUGAAAAAGAUUCUUCGCAGGGGCCCUGAGCCGAUAAUGCUGAAAUUAACAUCUUUGGAUAUACAAUUCUCUGCUUCUGAAGAAUGAAAAGAUAAAUAACAGAGCUAAGAAAGGGACUGAUGAAACUUACAACAGCAGGUCUCAAAUUUUUGGUCUCAGGACCCCUUUAUGCUCUUAAAAAUGAUUGACAGCCUCCAAGAGCUUUUGUUCAUGCUUUGGUAAGGCUGUGAGAGCACAGAGCUGAAUGAGGGAUCUUGGACUUCAAGUUACUGACUAGCCCCAGCACUCGCCAAGCUCACAAAGAAGACAGAAACGAGGUAAACAUCCAACCAUGUUUAUGGAAGAGUUCAUCUCUCUGUCAGCAUUACGU